rnacentral:RNase_P_RNA from 2 species
CGAGCUGGCCGGGCGGCCGCGUCGACGCUGUGUGCAGCGUCGCCGAGGAAAGUCCGGACUCCACAGGGCAAGGUGGUGGGUAACGCCCACCCGGGGUGACCCGCGGGAAAGUGCCACAGAAAGCAAACCGCCGGCAUGCCCCGGCAUGCCGGUAAGGGUGAAACGGUGGUGUAAGAGACCACCAGCGUCUUGGGUGACCAGGACGGCUCGGCAAACCCCACCUGGAGCAAGGUCAGACAGGAAGCGUUCGAGGGUGGCCCGCCCGAUGCUUCCGGGUAGACCGCACGAGGCUGUCGGCAACGGCAGUCCUAGAUGGAUGGCCGCCGCUCCCGCAUCGUCGGGAGGCACAGAAUCCGGCUUAUAGGCCAGCUCGUCCU